GAUGAAGAACGCAGCAAAAUGCGUUAAGUAAUGUGAAUUGCAGAAUUCAGUGAAUCAUCGAAUCUUUGAACGCACAUUGCGCCCGCCAGUAUUCUGGCGGGCAUGCCUGUUCGAGCGUCAUUUCAACCCUCAAGCACAGCUUGGUGUUGGGACUCGCGUUAAUUCGCGUUCCCCAAAUUGAUUGGCGGUCACGUCGAGCUUCCAUAGCGUAGUAGUAAAACCCUCGUUACUGGUAAUCGUCGCGGCCACGCCGUUAAACCCCAACUUCUGAAUGUUGACCUCGGAUCAGGUAGGAAUACCCGCUGAACUUAAGCAUAUCAAUAAGCGGAGGA
rnacentral:misc_RNA from 1 species